GACGAACGCUGGCGGCGUGCUUAACACAUGCAAGUCGAGCGGUAAGGCCCUUUCGGGGGUACACGAGCGGCGAACGGGUGAGUAACACGUGGGUGACCUGCCCUCAGCUCUGGGAUAAGCCCGGGAAACUGGGUCUAAUACUGGAUAUGACUCCACGGUGCAUGCCGUGGGGUGGAAAGCCUUGUGCGGCUGAGGAUGGGCCCGCGGCCUAUCAGCUUGUUGGUGGGGUGAUGGCCUACCAAGGCGACGACGGGUAGCCGGCCUGAGAGGGCGACCGGCCACACUGGGACUGAGACACGGCCCAGACUCCUACGGGAGGCAGCAGUGGGGAAUCUUGCGCAAUGGGCGAAAGCCUGACGCAGCGACGCCGCGUGAGGGAUGACGGCCUGGUGUAAC
rnacentral:rRNA from 1 species